AGCGAACGCUGGCGGCAGGCCUAACACAUGCAAGUCGAACGAACUCUUCGGAGUUAGUGGCUGAUGGGUUAGUAACACGUGGGAACGUGCGUUUUGGUUCUGAAUAACUCAUGGAAACUUGUGCUAAUACCGAAUGUGCCCUUCGGGGUGAAGAUUUUUCGCCAUUGGAGCGGCCCGCGUCUUAUUAGCUUGUUGGUGAGGUAACGGCACACCAAGGGGAGGAUCAGUAGCUGGUCUGAGAGGAGGCCCAGCCACACCGGGACUGGGCCACGACGCCGACUCCUGCGGGAGGCAGCAGUGGGGAAUCUUGCGGAAUGGGCGAAAGGCUGACGCAGCCCGGGCGCGUGAAUGAUGAAGGUAUUAGGAUUGUCAAAUUCUUUGACCGGGGACGAUAAUGACGGUACCCGGAGAAGAAGCCCCGGCUAACUUCGUG
rnacentral:rRNA from 1 species